rfam:Paracoccidioides sp. &apos;lutzii&apos; Pb01 unplaced genomic scaffold supercont2.14, whole genome shotgun sequence.
AUUCGGGUUGAUAACUAGGCGGCGAUCUCGAUUUGUAAAACCACUCUACGACGUCUGCCCUUUAAAUGCCCGAUAUAUUAAAACUUUUUUGGCGUUGGCCUUACAAGUUUCCUGUCUAUUGUUUUCUGUGGUUGGUAACAUUUAAUCCAUCGUCACAUACU